UACAGGGGGGGCAAGCGGUGUUCGGAAUCACUGGGCGUAAAGGGUGCGUAGGCGGGGCUUUAAGUCAGAGGGGAAAUCCUGGAGCUCAACUCCAGAACUGCCUUUGAUACUGAGGGUCUUGAGUAUGACAGAGGUGAGUGGAACUGCGAGUGUAGAGGUGAAAUUCGUAGAUAUUCGCAAGAACACCAGUGGCGAAGGCGGCUCACUGGCCCGAUACUGACGCUGAGGCACGAAAGCGUGGGGAGCAAACAGG
rnacentral:rRNA from 1 species